GCAUUGUAAUUUGCAGAGGAUGCUUCGGGAGUGGCCCCCAUCUAAGUGCCCUGGAACGGGCCGUCAUAGAGGGUGAGAAUCCCGUCUGGGAUGGGGUGUCCACGCCCGUGUGAAGCUCCUUCGACGAGUCGAGUUGUUUGGGAAUGCAGCUCUAAAUGGGUGGUAAAUUUCAUCUAAAGCUAAAUACUGGCCGGAGACCGAUAGCGCACAAGUAGAGUGAUCGAAAGAUGAAAAGCACUUUGAAAAGAGAGUUAAACAGCACGUGAAAUUGUUGAAAGGGAAGCGCUUGCGACCAGACUCGCCCACGGGGUUCAGCCGGCAUUCGUGCCGGUGUACUUCCCCGCGGGCGGGCCAGCGUCGGUUUGGGCGGCCGGUCAAAGGCCCUCGGAAUGUAACGCCCCCCGGGGCGUCUUAUAGCCGAGGGUGCCAUGCGGCCAGCCCGGACCGAGGAACGCGCUUCGGCUCGGACGCUGGCAUAAUGGUCGUAAGCGACCCGUC
rnacentral:rRNA from 1 species